rnacentral:rRNA from 1 species
CGCGAUAGAUCAAGAUAUCUGGAAUGGUUUUUGAUCAAAAUCUAUAUGGCCUUUGGAUUGGACUGCGUCCGAUCAGGCUGUUGGUGAGGUAAUGGCCCACCAAACCUGUAACCGGUACGGGCUCUGAGAGGAGGAGCCCGGAGAUGGGUACUGAGAAAAGGACCCAGGCCCUAUGGGGCGCAGCAGGCGCGAAACCUCUGCAAUAGGCGAAAGCCUGACAGGGUUACUCUGAGUGACUUUCGCUAAGAAAGUCUUUUGACACCUCUAAAAAUGGUGUAGAAUAAGGGGUGGGCAAGUCUGGUGUCAGCCGCCGCGGUAAUACCAGCACCCCGAGUGGUCGGGACGAUUAUUGGGCCUAAAGCAUCCGUAGCCGGUUUUACAAGUCCUCCGUUAAAUCCAGCUGCUUAACAGAUGGGCUGCGGAGGAUACUAUAAGACUAGGAGGCAGGAGAGGCAAGCGGUACUCAGUGGGUAGGGGUAAAAUCCGUUGAUCCAUUGAAGACCACCAGUGGCGAAGGUGGCUUGCCAGAAUGCGCUCGACGGUGAGGGAUGAAAGCUGGGGGAGCAAACCGGAUUAGAUACCCGGGUAGUCCCAGCUGUAAACGAUGCAGACUCGGUGAUGGACUAGCUUUAUGCUAGUCCAGUGCCGCAGGGAAGCCGUUAAGUCUGCCGCCUGGGUAGUACGGUCGCAA